AAGGACUUGAGCAUAAGCAGUUGUGGGUGUGUGCUGACACAGGCAUCAUUACUACCUUUGUCUCCAUGUGAUAGUGGUGGAAUAUGCUAUACAAAUCUAUGAAAACGAUUUGACCUUGCUGAAAUCAAUUAAAAUCAGAGGCAACAUUUGCAAUGGCUGCAGGAGAGCUAGGAGUCUUCUACAUCUUCUACUUGGGUGCAAUUGGAGUGAGAGACCAACUCAUUUGGCUCCCACACCUAGAAAGAUGGGCUGGUAUGUAAGCUGUGAAAUGAGCAAGGCAGAUUGUCAACUAGUAAAGUACACAUGGAUAUGUAUACACAUAUUCUUACACAGUGCAGGAAAAUCAGGAAAAGGAUUUGCAACCAUUGAACUUUUAGUAAGUAUUGCAUCAUGUAUUCUAAGUACUGGUUCAAAAAAAAAAAAAAAAACUUGAGCAUAGUCAUUCCUGUGCUUCUUAUCAAA
rnacentral:lncRNA from 1 species